rnacentral:rRNA from 1 species
GUGGGGGAUAUUGCACAAUGGGCGGGAGCCUGAACCAGCCAAGUCGCGUGAAGGAAGAAGGAUCUAUGGUUCGUAAACUUCUUUUGCAGGGGAAUAAAGUGCAGGACGUGUCCUGUUUUGUAUGUACCCUGAGAAUAAGGAUCGGCUAACUCCGUGCCAGCAGCCGCGGUAAUACGGAGGAUCCGAGCGUUAUCCGGAUUUAUUGGGUUUAAAGGGUGCGUAGGUGGUUUGAUAAGUCAGCGGUGAAAGUUUGCAGCUUAACUGUAAAAAUGCCGUUGAAACUGUCGGACUUGAGUGUAAAUGAGGUAGGCGGAAUGCGUGGUGUAGCGGUGAAAUGCAUAGAUAUCACGCAGAACUCCGAUUGCGAAGGCAGCUUACUAAGCUACAACUGACACUGAAGCACGAAAGCGUGGGGAGCAAACAGGAUUAGAUACCCCAGUAGUCC